rnacentral:rRNA from 1 species
GGUUGCGAUCAUACCAGCACUAAUGCACCGGAUCCCAUCAUAACUCCGCAGUUAAGCGUGCUUGGGCGAGAGUAGUACUAGGAUGGGUGACCCCCUGGGAAGUCCUCGUGUUGCAACCCC